rnacentral:lncRNA from 1 species
CAAGAAAAAUGACCUAUACUUACAGACAAAAACUGUCACUGUAAAUAAAAAAUCCGUAGGUAAAUGUAUGAUAGACUUUGUCCUACGGACGUUUCUUCUGUCAACUUUGAGGGGGUGUAUAAUGACGGCUAAUUGUCUGUCACUAUAGGUUUUACCUACUAUGUAUAAUGUGUAGGUAAAAGUCAUUAACUUCUACUUACAUUUCCUAACUGUAGGUAAAAGUCUUUAAUAUGUACCUAUCAUCUUCAACUGUAGGUAAAAGUCAUUAACUUCUACUUACAUUUCCUAAUUAUAGGUAAAAGUCUUUAAUAUGAACAUCACUUGAGACCGCAAGAACCUUCUUUCCCAUUAACCGAUGCCACAAAACUGCACUGUUUAGAA